AUUAGUCAAUGCUCGCAAGAGUGAACUAGCUAACUGAAAUCCUUGGUGUGUCAUCGAGGAUAACGUAAGGGAAAAUAAUGAUAUUACCUUACUAUUAGUGUCGUCCAAGUGCUCGUGCCAGAAGACUCGGUAAGGCGAGAGACGCAAACGUUAGUCGUCCUGAUCAGGCGUAAAGGGUGUGUAGGCGGGUUUAAGUGUCUAAUUUUUAAGUUUACUAUUUUGAUAAUUAAAUUUCUAUUUGAAUUUUUUCAAUGAAAAAUGUAAAUAUAAAUACAUUUACAAAGAUAGUUAAACUUCCACAAUGCUACGCGCUCCUGCCCUUCGGGUUUGGAACGCAACGCUCCUUCCCUCUGCGAAGCGCGGGGGGAGGCUGCGUAGCAUCGUGCUAACGCAAGGGGAAGUAUAAAAAAUUUAAAUUACAAAAUUUUUAAAAAAAGGAUCAAUUAAAUCUAGAAUCUAAAAGAGGUUAAAACAAUACUUAAGGUAGAGGUAAAAAUCGUAGAUAUUAAGCAGAGUGUUAAGGGCGAAGGCAUUUUUCCACUAAAGAUUGACGCUGAGAAACGAAGGUGAGGGCAGAAAAAAGGAUUAGAGACCCUUGUAUUCCUCACUGUCAACGAUGAAUGGUAGUUACUAGAGAGUUAUGAUCUAGAGACGAUGUUAACACGAAAACCAUUCCGCCUUGUGAGUACGACUGCAAAGUUGAAAACAAAAAAAUUAGUCGGUUUCGGAGCAAACGAAGUGAAGCAUGUUAUUUAAUC
rnacentral:rRNA from 1 species